UAGGGAAUCUUCGGCAAUGGACGAAAGUCUGACCGAGCAACGCCGCGUGAGUGAAGAAGGUUUUCGGAUCGUAAAACUCUGUUGUUAGAGAAGAACAAGGACGUUAGUAACUGAACGUCCCCUGACGGUAUCUAACCAGAAAGCCACGGCUAACUACGUGCCAGCAGCCGCGGUAAUACGUAGGUGGCAAGCGUUGUCCGGAUUUAUUGGGCGUAAAGCGAGCGCAGGCGGUUUCUUAAGUCUGAUGUGAAAGCCCCCGGCUCAACCGGGGAGGGUCAUUGGAAACUGGGAGACUGGAGUGCAGAAGAGGAGAGAGGAAUUCCAGGUGUAGCGGUGAAAUGCGUAGAUAUAUGGAGGAACACCAGUGGCGAAGGCGGCUCUCUGGUCUGUAACUGACGCUGAGGCUCGAAAGCGUGGGGAGCAAACAGG
rnacentral:rRNA from 1 species